ensembl:snoRNA SNORD31 Small nucleolar RNA SNORD31
GUUGGAGAUGAUGAGUGCUGAAUACCGCCCCAGUCUGAUUGAGCUGACUGAUUGGUAUCCCCUCUGAUCUAUC